AUGCAUCACCUUAACAAGAGCCAUGCAGCAGGUGUAAUGGAACUCAAACAAUUAGGAUUCAAAGAAAGGGCGUGGCAGACCCCUGGGCUAACAGCCCAUGGGAUGAACCUCAAUGGCCCCCACCGGUGUCCAUAUCAGCACGCCUGGACCAGCUCAGAACAAUGGCCCCCACCAAUGUCUCAGUCUCCAGAGAGGUCCCUCCUCUCACCAAGAUGCCCCCAGAGCCCACCAGAGCCCUGACUGUUCAUUCUUGCACCGCCUCCAUGUGACCCAGGGGAAACUGACUCCAUGCUCAGCUCCAGGAGUGGAUCCUGACUGGUCUACGCCAAUCACAGUAAUCUCACCCUUCCUUGCCAGUAAUUGGUUCAGGAACCCAAGCCAGUCAUUGGAGGUCACCAUCCCACCACCAUGGGAUGGACACAUGCCUAAACUGACUAAUCAGGAGAGAGAAGGACUUCUCUUCCAUGGUUUGGUGAGAGAUUUUUCUUCUUUUGAGCCAGACAUGAAUAAUGAGAUGGACAGCCCCAGUUGCUACUGACAGAGUUCUUACCACCAUGAGGGAAGGUAGCCUUGGCUGGAACUGAUGUCCUGGAUGACAGAGUGGAAAGAGAGAGAGAACCAUCUGAGUCCUGGCCAAUCUGGGGAUUACCAACCCCAAGACCCCUACACCUGAGGAUUUAGAGGCUGAAACCUCAAGUGAGACUGCUGCUGCAGUGUUGAAGAUUAAAUGCUCAAUAUGUGGUCCCUAAAGGCAGAUUUAAAGGAAGAGACAACAAUCAGCCUCUCUAUAUAUCACCAUCUUCAAUUAUUUUGUUCAAAGACAAGGCUCAACCAAAGACAAAGCUCAACAUCCAAAACAAGAUGUCAAACAAGAAGAUGCCAAAAAAGAAGUUUCUUGCUG
rnacentral:lncRNA from 1 species